rnacentral:ncRNA from 1 species
CAGGUGGUUGAUAGGCAGGGUGUGUAAGCGCAGUAAUGCGUUGAGCUUACCUGUACUAAUGAUCCGUGUGGCUUGACCAU